GUUAGUGGCGGACUGGUGAGUAACACGUAAGCAACCUGCCUAUCAGAGGGGAACAACAGUUAGAAAUGACUGCUAAUACCGCAUAUGCCUAAGUACCACAUGGUACAAUAGGGAAAGGAGUAAUCCGCUGAUAGAUGGGCUUGCGUCUGAUUAGAUAGUUGGUGGGGUAAUGGCCUACCAAGUCGACGAUCAGUAGCCGGACUGAGAGGUUGAACGGCCACAUUGGGACUGAGAUACGGCCCAGACUCC
rnacentral:rRNA from 1 species